AUUCAACAGGAUUUUACCGUUUGAGGGGACUCCUACCCGAUACUACUUAUGUGAUUAAAGUAGCAAGGAAAGUUGCAUCUGGUGGAGCUAUGAUUGAGCGUGCAUCUCCUGAGUUUCUGACCGUUCAGGUGAACGCUGAGGACUCUAGGGGAUUAGAUUUUGUAGUAUUUGAACAGCCAGAGAGGACAAUUAUAAGUGGCCAUGUUGAAGGGCAUAAAAUCAAAGAGUUCAACUCACAUCUCCAUGUGGAGAUCAAGUCUGCUGCUGAUCCGUCAAAGAUUGAGUACAACUCUCCACUUCCCCUCUCAAACUUUUUCCAGGUGAAGGACUUGCCUAAGGGUAAAUACCUUGUACAGCUGAGAUCAUCUCUGCCUUCAAGGACUCACAAAUUUGAAUCAGAUGUUAUUGAGGUUGAUUUAGAGAAAAAUUCUCAAAUUCAUGUGGGUCCACUCAAGUACAAAAUCGAUUUCAAUCACCAGAAACAGGAUUUAACUCCAGCUCCUGUGUACCCUCUAUUUGUUGGAGUUUCUGUGAUUGCACUUUUCAUUGGGAUGCCAAGAUUGAAGGAUUUAUACCAAGUGAUGAUGGGAAUGUCUUCAUCAGUAGUGUCAGCAAAGAAAGAAGUGAAAAGACCUCUAGUGAGAAAGAAAACAUACUGAGGAAUGGAUCUACUUUUUAGAGGAGCUUCAAUGCUUACUUAGGUAGGUGACAUGAAUGAUCUAUAAGAGCUGAUGUAGUUUUUAUUUGUCCAUCGAUUCAAGCAAAUCUUCACUCACACAAGGAUCUCCUCCCUCGCCUCACAGCAACCCUCUACUACGAUACUGAAUCUUCAUUUGUUAGUCGUUAGCGCUUCAAAUUUUGACAAUUUUAACCUCAAUAUAUUUAUUAUACCUAUGCCAAUUUUUGGGAUGGUUUCAGUAAAUUAUGUUUUUGUGAUUCCAUCCAUAUUUAGCUUUUGUAACUACUGCCCA
rnacentral:misc_RNA from 1 species